UUCUAUCCAUUAUGUAUUUAUUGUUUGAAUUACCUCUGUUUAGACAGAUUUAUAACAUUCACCAGGUGUUCUCAAGAAACAUUGUUGAAUAAAGCUGACAGGUACAGUUUUGCUACUGGCAAAAUGCAUCCAUCCAAGUCUUCAACACCAGUAUUGAGUCAUUUUGGUGAAUAGGUACAGUUUUGCCGAAGGCAAAAUGCAUCCAUCUGAGUCUUCCACACCAGCUGAUGAUGGCCAGUCUGUUUCACCUGCGCUGAUUAAAUUUGCCAUUUUAGGAUCUCAAGGGAGUCUAUUACCUCCACAAGCAGCAUUUUCUUCAGUUGAAAUUGAAUGUUACAGUUGUUGUUGUUGUUGUUGUUUUUUUUAUUUUAUUUUUUAUUUUUUAUUUUUUUUCCUUUGAUUUGGUUAUGAACUAAGAAAUAUGAGUUAGUUUUGAUUUAAGCU